rnacentral:rRNA from 1 species
AACGAACGCUGGCGGCGUGCUUAAUACAUGCAAGUCGUGCGAGAACGGGUCCUUCGGGCCUUAGUAAAGCGGCGCACGGGUGCGUAACACGUGGGCAACCUGCCCAACGGUUCGGGAUAAGCUCUCGAAAGGGGGUCUAAUACCGAAUGAUAUUCAGACGAGACAUCUCGUUUGACUCAAAGGCGGUGAAAGCCGUCGCCGAUGGAUGGGCCCGCGGCCAUUAGC